rnacentral:rRNA from 1 species
UAGGGAAUCUUCCACAAUGGGCGCAAGCCUGAUGGAACAACACCGCGUGAGUGAAGAAGGGUUUCGGCUCGUAAAGCUCUGUUGUUAAAGAAGAACACGUAUGAGAGUAACUGUUCAUACGUUGACGGUAUUUAACCAGAAAGUCACGGCUAACUACGUGCCAGCAGCCGCGGUAAUACGUAGGUGGCAAGCGUUAUCCGGAUUUAUUGGGCGUAAAGAGAGUGCAGGCGGUUUUCUAAGUCUGAUGUGAAAGCCUUCGGCUUAACCGGAGAAGUGCAUCGGAAACUGGAUAACUUGAGUGCAGAAGAGGGUAGUGGAACUCCAUGUGUAGCGGUGGAAUGCGUAGAUAUAUGGAAGAACACCAGUGGCGAAGGCGGCUACCUGGUCUGCAACUGACGCUGAGACUCGAAAGCAUGGGUAGCGAACAGGAUUAGAUACCCUGGUAGUCCAUGCCGUAAACGAUGAGUGCUAGGUGUUGGAGGGUUUCCGCCCUUCAGUGCCGGAGCUAACGCAUUAAGCACUCCGCCUGGGGAGUACGACCGCAAGGUUG